AUUGAACGCUGGCGGCAUGCCUUACACAUGCAAGUCGAACGGCAGCACGGGAGCAAUCCUGGUGGCGAGUGGCGAACGGGUGAGUAAUGUAUCGGAACGUGCCCAGUCGUGGGGGAUAACGUAGCGAAAGCUACGCUAAUACCGCAUACGAUCUGUGGAUGAAAGCGGGGGACCGUAAGGCCUCGCGCGAUUGGAGCGGCCGAUAUCAGAUUAGGUAGUUGGUGAGGUAAAGGCCUACCAAGCCGACGAUCUGUAGCUGGUCUGAGAGGACGGUCAGCCACACUGGGACGGAGACACAGUCCGGACUCCUACGGGAGGCAGCAGUGGGGAAUGUUGGACAAUGGGCGAAAGCCUGAUCCAGCAAUGCCGCGUGCAGGAUGAAGGCCUUCGGGUUGUAAACUGCUUUUGUACGGAACGAAAAGCCCCGGGUUAAUACCCUGGGGUCAUGACGGUACCGUAAGAAUAAGCACCGGCUAACUACGUGCCAGCCGCCGCCGUAA
rnacentral:rRNA from 1 species